GGAGAGUUGGCAGAGUGGCCGAAUGCACGUCCUUGCUAAGGACGCAACUGGGUAACUGGUUCGAGGGUUCGAAUCCCUCACUCUCCGCCA
rnacentral:tRNA from 1 species